CCCCUCACCCCCCCACGCUCCCCUCUUUUCCAUCCUCCGCGCUGCCGGACCGGUGCACCGGGAUGGAACUGGAUCCGAAAGCAGCUAACUCACAAGCUGUGUUCCAGCACGAGGGAGGUUUCAUCACGUGACACGUGCGACCGGCCCGGUUCUGUAAUGUGGGGAAUUACACAUUUUUGUAACUGGGUGGUCAGGAAGUGCGUCUUAGCUGGAAGAAGUUUCCCAGACGGCCAGGUCUGUUUUUAGCGUAAUAAACAAAUUAGAUUUCUAUUUCAAAAUGAGACACUUUUAGUCCUGUUGGUCGGUCCUGUGUGUGUUAGUUUGUGCGUGUGUGUGUGUGUGUGUGUAAAACCCUUCUUCUUGGAUCAUCUGUCUGUGUGUGUUUGUGAUUAAUUGGGAUCAUCUUUGUUGUUUCCUUUUUGGAUUAAAUCCUUUUGUUUGAUUGUUGGUUUGUGAAACCAGUGACUCAUAUUUAAAUUCUUAUUUUUUCUCCUUAUUAUUUGUCACAGAUGUACUUAUUGUUAUUAUUGUGAUCAAGCAAAACCGAGCUGGAAGUCAUCUUGGGAGCAAUAAUGACAUUUCUCCCACGGAGGAGGAACACAAACUCAUUUUGGUGAAAUACGAGCAAAGAAAAUCGCCAAUGAGAUGGAAGACAAUAAAAACCGCACGUGAUGAAAAGCAACACGUGGAGCUACAGGCACGUGAGCCUGUCAGCGAGGCACAUUGUGCGCCGUGAUUUACACACAUGCUCCGCGGCUUGUUUUCAGCGCUGGCAGAAAAGACGUGUAAUUAUUGAGGCGAGCCCCAGAUGGAAACUGUCAUUCGGGUCUGACGUGUUUUGGCAAACGGGCCGAGAGGUGAGAGACGCGUUUGCUGCGUUCCACGAUGAACGGCUAAAAUAUAUUGCAAUUAGUCACACCUCCCCAAUCAAAGUUUAAGACCUCCGGUUCGUCUCUUCUGGGGUUACCUGCUGAAAGCUUUAUUAUUUAUCCAACACACCUAUACGUUUUUGUCUUUCGGGCACACCUGUGUUUGGUUUGGAGAAAAGAAAACGGAUUCCUGUGACUGACAGCUCGUGAGAAUUGAAUUGUCAUAUUCUUCGGAUGAACGCUUCACUGCGGAAAUGGAGGAUCUUGGUGCCUCAAUAACCAAUAACUCUGACUUUGGAGUGGAGGCGACCGUGGGUGGGGGUGGGUGGGGGUCACCGGGAGCUGAAGUGCACGUUGCAGGUACGCCGUCUCUGGCGUUUCGGCACAGGCCGCCCCCGCGAGCUGCCGACACGCCGGGGUUGGCGAGUCAUAUUUGCUGGCAGCGGGACAGCGGGAGACAGCUGGCUGACGGUGGCACUCAGCGAUGCAAACCUGCCCCGACACCUGCCUCCACCUGCCUCCACCUGUCUCCACCUGCCUCCACCUCAGGCCAUCGCCGCCCCGCCGCCGGGGGAGGAGCGCGCGUGUGCGUCCUGAAUAUUCCAGACUAAAUAAAAAUGCCUUCAUUUUAGAACAAUGGAGUAGACAAAAGACACAUGUGCUGAUCCAGAUGUGUUUAUCGCGGUGAAGCUGCGUCCUCUCGUUUCCAAUUCGCUCCUCAACAAUCUUUCACAAAAGGCCCUUCAGCUCUACUUGUACUCCGUGUUAUGUGUUUAUUUAUCCUUUUCACCCACGAGUGAUAACAAGUCACGGGUGUUCUGUCACGUGAGAGAAUCUCAGGGGCUUCGACUCGCUAACAUUCAUCCGUCUCACAAAGGGACUGAAAGGCGUCGCUGGCAGACAGACACAUUCGCCGCUUGCCACAUUGUUCCUUCUGUCCUAUUUUUAAAAAAUAGAUUAACUUAACUAAACGUUAAUGUAAGACUGCUAACAUGGUCACAUGCUCACCACAACAUGCAGAUGUUUACCAGCGGUGCCCCUUAAUGGACACUCUUUUAUUGAAUGUUCUCAUCCAGAACAACUGCUGAGCAAGGAGGUUGUGUGUGUGUGUGUGUGUGUGUGUGUGUGUGUGUGUGUGUGUGUGUGUGUGUGUGUGUGUGUGUGUGUGUGUGUGUGUGUGUGUGUGUGUGAAGUGAAGUUGAAGGUCACAUUGUUAAGGCAGAUAACCGAUAAAAACGAACCAAGUUGCACGACGGUCUGUAAUGUUGCCUUUUUCAAAAUACCAAGAAUGCAACAAAGAUGUGUUCAUCGUGUUUUAAUGAUGAGAAUAAUUCACAUGGAGACGUUAUUUCUACGCACAUUCCUUGAGCUUUUGUUCUUUUAAACCAAGUAGUGUGGUUGCCUGUCCAUCACUACCACCUGGUCAACCUCCUUCUGCACGGCUGAUCCUUUCACUU
ensembl:lncRNA